rnacentral:rRNA from 1 species
AUUGAACGCUGGCGGCAGGCCUAACACAUGCAAGUCGAACGGCAGCACAGAAGAGCUUGCUCUUUGGGUGGCGAGUGGCGGACGGGUGAGUAAUGUCUGGGAAACUGCCCGAUGGAGGGGGAUAACGACUGGAAACGGUAGCUAAUACCGCAUAACGUCGCAAGACCAAAGUGGGGGACCUUCGGGCCUCACAUCAUCGGAUGUGCCCAGAUGGGAUGAGCUAGUAGGUGGGGUAAUGGCUCACCUAGGCGACGAUCCCUAGCUGGUCUGAGAGGGUGACCAGCCACACUGGAACUGAGACACGGUCCAGACUCCUACGGGAGGCAGCAGUGGUGAAUAUUGCACAAUGGGAGCAAGCAUGAUGCAGCCAUGCCGCGUGUAUGAAGAAGGCCUUCGGGUUGUAAAGUACCUUCAGCGGAGAGGAAGGCGGUGAGGUUAAUAACCUUGCCGAUUGACGUUACCCGCAGAAGAAGCACCGGCUAACUCCGUGCCAGCCGCCGCCGUAA